rnacentral:rRNA from 1 species
UACGUAGGGUGCGAGCGUUGUCCGGAAUUAUUGGGCGUAAAGAGCUUGUAGGCGGUUUGUCGCGUCUGCUGUGAAAAUCCGGGGCUCAACCCCGGACUUGCAGUGGGUACGGGCAGACUAGAGUGUGGUAGGGGAGACUGGAAGUUCCUGGUGUAGCGGUGGAAUGCGCAGAUAUCAGGAGGAACACCGAUGGCGAAGGCAGGUCUCUGGGCCAUUACUGACACUGAGAAGCGAAAGCAUGGGGAGCGAACAGG